AAUCAACGCUGGCGGCGUGCCUAACACAUGCAAGUCGCACGAGAAAGGGGAGCAAUCCCUGAGUAAAGUGGCGCACGGGUGAGUAACACGUGAAUAAUCUACCUCCGAGUGGGGAAUAACUGAGAGAAAUCUUAGCUAAUACCGCAUAACACUUACGAGUCAAAGCAGCAAUGCGCUUGGAGAGGAGUUCGCGGCCGAUUAGUUAGUUGGCGGGGUAAUGGCCCACCAAGACGAUGAUCGGUAUCCGGCCUGAGAGGGCGCACGGACACACUGGAACUGGAACACGGUCCAGACUCCUACGGGAGGCAGCAGUGGGGAAUUUUGCGCAAUGGGGGAAACCCUGACGCAGCAACGCCGCGUGGAGGAUGAAAUCCCUUGGGAUGUAAACUCCUUUCGAUAGGGAAGAUAAUGACGGUACCUAUAGAAGAAGCCCCGGCUAACUUCGUGCCAGCCGCCGAGUAAC
rnacentral:rRNA from 1 species